UUUCCGUAGGUGAACCUGCGGAAGGAUCAUUAUUGAAUGAAACACUUCUGGCUUUAUGCUGUUGUGCUGGCCCUUUGGGCAAUGUGCACACGGCUCUGGUCACUUGUUUCUUCUGUUCCACCUGUGCACUGCCUGUAGACACGCUGUGUCUAUGAUAUUUGUUAACACACAACAAUGUUAGUUGGCAUGUUAUAUAUAAUAAUAAAAUAUACAACUUUCAACAACGGAUCUCUUGGCUCUCGCAUCGAUGAAGAACGCAAC
rnacentral:misc_RNA from 1 species